UACGUAGGGGGCGAGCGUUGUCCGGAUUUAUUGGGCGUAAAGAGCUCGUAGGCGGUUUGGUAAGUUGGAUGUGAAAUCUCCAGGCUCAACUUGGAGGGGUCAUUCGAUACUGCCAUGACUAGAGUUCGGUAGGGGAGUGUGGAAUUCCUGGUGGAGCGGUGAAAUGCGCAGAUAUCAGGAGGAACACCAGUGGCGAAGGCGAUGCUCUGGGCCGGUACUGACGCUGAGGAGCGAAAGCAUGGGGAGCGAACAGG
rnacentral:rRNA from 1 species